rnacentral:tRNA from 1 species
CCUGGUGGCUCAGAUGGUAAAGCGUCUGCCUACAAUUCAGGAGACCCAGGUUCGAUCCCUGGGUCAGGA